rnacentral:tRNA from 1 species
GGGGUUGUGGCUCAGUGGUAGAGCAUUCGCCUAAGAUGUGUGAGGUAUUGGGAUCGAUCCUCAGCACCA